rnacentral:rRNA from 1 species
AUACGGAGGGGGCAAGCGUUAUCCGGAAUCAUUGGGUUUAAAGGGUCCGCAGGCGGAUUAAUAAGUCAGUGGUGAAAUCCUCUCGCUCAACGAGAGAACUGCCAUUGAAACUGUUAGUCUUGAAUUCGGUCGAAGUAGGCGGAAUGUGUCAUGUAGCGGUGAAAUGCAUAGAUAUGACACAGAACACCGAUAGCGAAGGCAGCUUACUAGACCUGGAUUGACGCUCAUGGACGAAAGCGUGGGGAGCGAACAGGAUUAGAAACCCCAGUAGUCC